GAUGAACGCUGGCGGCGUGCCUAAUACAUGCAAGUAGAACGCUGAAGGAGGAGCUUGCUCUUCUGGAUGAGUUGCGAACGGGUGAGUAACGCGUAGGUAACCUGCCUGGUAGCGGGGGAUAACUAUUGGAAACGAUAGCUAAUACCGCAUGACAACAGUUAUUGCAUGAUAACUGUUUAAAAGGGGCAACUGCUCCACUACCAGAUGGACCUGCGUUGUAUUAGCUAGUUGGUGAGGUAACGGCUCACCAAGGCGACGAUACAUAGCCGACCUGAGAGGGUGAUCGGCCACACUGGGACUGAGACACGGCCCAGACUCCUACGGGAGGCAGCAGUAGGGAAUCUUCGGCAAUGGACGGAAGUCUGACCGAGCAACGCCGCGUGAGUGAAGAAGGUUUUCGGAUCGUAAAGCUCUGUUGUAAGAGAAGAACGAGUGUGAGAGUGGAAAGUUCCCACUGUGACGGUAUCUUACCAGAAAGGGACGGCUAACUACGUG
rnacentral:rRNA from 1 species